rnacentral:ribozyme from 1 species
ACCGCACAGAAUCAAAGCCUCCACGCGGCGUGCGGUGGGCAACGAAUGGCGGUGCUGUUCGGCAAAUUUUGAUU